GAUGAACGCUGGCGGCGUGCCUAAUGCAUGCAAGUCGAGCGGCAACAGAUCCUUAUCUCUGAUAAGGGUGCUGGCGAGCGGCAAACGGGUGAGUAAUACAUGGGUAACCUACCCUGAAGAAGGGGAUACCCCACCGAAAGGUGGUUCAAUACCCUAUAAUCUUUAGAAAGGAAGCUUUUUAAAGUAAAGGUGGUAAGUCUACUUACUACCACUUCAGGAUGGGCUCAUGGCCUAUCAGCUAGUUGGUGAGUUAAAAGCCCACCAAGGCGAAGACGGGUAGCUGACCUGAGAGGGUGAUCAGCCACAUUGGGACUGAGACACGGCCCAAACUCCUACGGGAGGCAGCAGCAGGGAAUAUUGGGCAAUGAGCGAAAGCUUGACCCAGCGACGCCGCGUGGGUGAUGAAGGCCUUCGGUCUUAAAGCCUUUCUAAGGAAUGAAGGAUUAUAUCCUGAAUAAGAAUAUAAUCUUGACAGUACCUUAGGAAUAAGCUCCAGCCAACU
rnacentral:rRNA from 1 species